rnacentral:rRNA from 1 species
AUGUACAUUCUUACAACAUAGCAUUAAUGCACUAGAUCCCAUUAGAACUCUGCAGUUAAGUAUGGUCGUGCUAGAGUAGUAAUAGGAUGGAUGAUCACCCGAGAAGUCCUAUUAUUUUACAUG